rnacentral:misc_RNA from 1 species
CGAGCGUCAUUGCACCCCUCAAGCGUAGCUGGUAUUGGGCCUUCGCCCCCGCGGCGGGCCCGAAAGUCAGUGGCGGUCCGGUGCGACUUCAAGCGUAGUAAGAUACCUCCCGCUUUGGAAGCUCGCGACGUGGCCGGCCAUAACGCCCAGCUUUUUCAAUGAUUGACCUCGGAUCAGGUAGGGAUACCCGCUGAACUUAA